rnacentral:rRNA from 1 species
AACGAACGCUGGCGGCAGGCUUAACACAUGCAAGUCGAGCGCCCCGCAAGGGGAGCGGCAGACGGGUGAGUAACGCGUGGGAACGUACCUUUUGGCUCGGAACAACUCCGGGAAACUGGAGCUAAUACCGGAUAAGCCCUAACGGGGAAAGAUUUAUCGCCGAAAGAUCGGCCCGCGUCUGAUUAGCUAGUUGGUGAGGUAACGGCUCACCAAGGCGACGAUCAGUAGCUGGUCUGAGAGGAUGAUCAGCCACACUGGGACUGAGACACGGCCCAGACUCCUACGGGAGGCAGCAGUGGGGAAUAUUGGACAAUGGGCGCAAGCCUGAUCCAGCCAUGCCGCGUGAGUGAUGAAGGCCUUAGGGUUGUAAAGCUCUUUUGUCCGGGAAGAUAAUGACUGUACCGGAAGAAUAAGCCCCGGCUAACUUCGUG